CUUCUCAAUUACUCUCAAAUCUUCACCCUCACUAGAAGCCAUGUCUAAGCAGAGAUCUAUAAAAAAAAUAUCAAGAAAAGUAAUCUCUACGUGCUUAAAAUCACCAAAGUAAUUUUCGACUAGCAAAAUCUCAAAAUUCCCUCUUGUGAACAAAUGAGUUUUUCUUCACUCCAAAUACUUUCAACUCAACUUUCAAAGCUUCUAACAAGUAUGUGUAUUCCAA
rnacentral:lncRNA from 1 species